CUUGGGUCUUUAGAGGAAGUAAAAGUCGUAACAAGGUCUCCGUAGGUGAACCUGCGGAGGGAUCAUUACAAGAACGCCCGGGCUUCGGCCUGGUUAUUCAUAACCCUUUGUUGUCCGACUCUGUUGCCUCCGGGGCGACCCUGCCUUCGGGCGGGGGCUCCGGGUGGACACUUCAAACUCUUGCGUAACUUUGCAGUCUGAGUAAACUUAAUUAAUAAAUUAAAACUUUUAACAACGGAUCUCUUGGUUCUGGCAUCGAUGAAGAACGCAGCGAAAUGCGAUAAGUAAUGUGAAUUGCAGAAUUCAGUGAAUCAUCGAAUCUUUGAACGCACAUUGCGCCCCCUGGUAUUCCGGGGGGCAUGCCUGUUCGAGCGUCAUUUCACCACUCAAGCCUCGCUUGGUAUUGGGCAACGCGGUCCGCCGCGUGCCUCAAAUCGUCCGGCUGGGUCUUCUGUCCCCUAAGCGUUGUGGAAACUAUUCGCUAAAGGGUGUUCGGGAGGCUACGCCGUAAAACAACCCCAUUUCUAAGGUUGACCUCGGAUCAGGUAGGGAUACCCGCUGAACUUAAGCAUAUCAAUAAGCGGAGGA
rnacentral:rRNA from 1 species